rnacentral:rRNA from 1 species
GAUGAACGCUGGCGGCGUGCCUAAUACAUGCAAGUCGAGCGAAUGGAUUAAGAGCUUGCUCUUAUGAAGUUAGCGGCGGACGGGUGAGUAACACGUGGGUAACCUGCCCAUAAGACUGGGAUAACUCCGGGAAACCGGGGCUAAUACCGGAUAACAUUUUGAACCGCAUGGUUCGAAAUUGAAAGGCGGCUUCGGCUGUCACUUAUGGAUGGACCCGCGUCGCAUUAGCUAGUUGGUGAGGUAACGGCUCACCAAGGCAACGAUGCGUAGCCGACCUGCGAGGGUGAUCGGCCACACUGGGACUGAGAAACGGCCCAGACUCCUACGGGAGGCAGCAGUAGGGAAUCUUCCGCAAUGGACGAAAGUCUGACGGGGCAACGCCGCGUGAGUGAUGAAGGCUUUCGGGUCGUAAAACUCUGUUGUUAGGGAAGAACAAGUGCUAGUUGAAUAAGCUGGCACCUUGACGGUACCUAACCAGAAAGCCACGGCUAACUACGUGCCAGCCGCCGCAGUAA